UCGGGCUGUCAGUCCCCGCGGCCGCCGCUGCCGCUGCCGCCGCCGCCGCAGCCGCUGCUCCUCACCUGCGGUGGCCCGGUGACCGCCGGCGCUGCCAAUCGCUGCCCGCCGCCCGAGCAUCCCGAGCCGCCUUCCGUCGUGCGGGCCCGGCGCGCAGGUGUUCAUGAAAAAAAUGCACACAAUCCCGACUGACCGGAAUAAUUCAUGAAGAAGGGCUGGCUGGCUCCGUGGGUCAGAGAACGCAGGACCAGUUUGCCACCAUCCCAAGGCCCAAGUCUGGUGUCUCGGAUUUGGCCCUGCGUUGCCUACUCCUGCUGGAUCUUGUCCAGUCGAGGGACAAAACGUCCUGACAUCUUCCUGAAGAAUGGGAAGAAAGGAGAUUCUGGAAAGCACAGAUUGCAAUACUGAGGAAACCAACACUGGCAGGAGCCCCAAGGAUGGCUGGAACUGGGGACUUGCAGGCCCAAGAACCGUGGUGAUGCCAGCAAUGACCAGGAGCCACCCACAGCAGUUCCCGAGCUGUCUGUCCAGGACCCACUGAAUGGAGCACACACAGGGGGAGUCUUUCUCACUUUGCAGUCGCAAAUGCUGCAACAAAGACCAGAGAAGCCAAAGAUGCAGCACGAGUCCUAUCGUUUCUUAGAGUGACCCUGA